GUCGCAAUGCGGAUGAGCGACAGCGAAUGCUCGAGAACGAGCUCAAGCGAGUAAAUUAAACUCGAUAUUUUUUAAAAAAUUUGUUCAAAAUAGAAACUUCACGUUACAAUUGCUAAAAAUGGCCGAAUACUCAAUAAAUGAAAUUAUUGUUUGUUGAUACUAUUUUUAUGACGAAAGUCGAUCGGAUUAUUCCAGAAUGAUAUAACUAUCAUGCUCGUUUUUCACAAAAACAUUCUGACCGAAGUAGGAUCUACAAUCUAUCGACGAAAAAAUUUUUAACUAUAUAAAGAUAAAAAAUAAAUUUAAAAGAUCAAAAUUAAUCUAUAUUAAUAGAAAUGGAGAUAAAUGAUCAAACAAUAAUUGUAUUGGUUGCUGUUAAUCUUCAAAUUUGCAUUGCACAACAACUCAAGCAGGACACACAUACACACAACAGAAAAGAUUUAGAAUUAUUAAAUACUACGGGAAUAACAAAUUGUGGGAUUCUUAUUUCUGCUAACACAAAUAAGAUGUCAUAAAUAUUUAGAGAGCGGACGUCAAAAAUUCAGUCAGCAAAUUUUAAAAAGUUAACAUUAGAUACAAGCAGUGAUGUUUAUACAGACAGAAAAGCGAGAAAGGAAAGUGUGAAAUUAUCCAUAUGCUUAUCAGGUAAAAAUAAAAAUCUAAUGCUUUUUAAAAAUUCAUGUUCACACGACAACUGCGAUUUGUGCAGAAUUACAGAAAAAAUUCUAUUAUUUAUAGAAUGUCGCAGUUUUUCUUUUAAAAAGGUAUUUGCAAUCAAAAUGUACAUAUCUUUCGAUAAUGAUUAUUAUUCUUGUUCAUUAUAAUACAUCUUUAUGAAUAAGUUUUAAU